GACGAACGCUGGCGGCGUGCCUAAUACAUGCAAGUCGAGCGGACUUAAAAAGCUUGCUUUUUAAGUUAGCGGCGGACGGGUGAGUAACACGUGGGCAACCUGCCUGUAAGACUGGGAUAACUUCGGGAAACCGGAGCUAAUACCGGAUAAUCCUUUUCUACUCAUGUAGAAAAGCUGAAAGACGGUUUACGCUGUCACUUACAGAUGGGCCCGCGGCGCAUUAGCUAGUUGGUGAGGUAACGGCUCACCAAGGCGACGAUGCGUAGCCGACCUGAGAGGGUGAUCGGCCACACUGGGACUGAGACACGGCCCAGACUCCUACGGGAGGCAGCAGUAGGGAAUCUUCCGCAAUGGACGAAAGUCUGACGGAGCAACGCCGCGUGAAUGAUGAAGGUUUUCGGAUCGUAAAACUCUGUUGUUAGGGAAGAACAAGUACGAGAGUAACUGCUCGUACCUUGACGGUACCUAACCAGAAAGCCACGGCUAACUACGUG
rnacentral:rRNA from 1 species